rnacentral:rRNA from 1 species
GACGAACGCUGGCGGCGUGCUUAACACAUGCAAGUCGAACGGAAAGGCCCUGCUUUUGUGGGGUGCUCGAGUGGCGAACGGGUGAGUAACACGUGAGUAACCUGCCCUUGACUUUGGGAUAACUUCAGGAAACUGGGGCUAAUACCGGAUAGGAGCUCCUGCUGCAUGGUGGGGGUUGGAAAGUUUCGGCGGUUGGGGAUGGACUCGCGGCUUAUCAGCUUGUUGGUGGGGUAGUGGCUUACCAAGGCUUUGACGGGUAGCCGGCCUGAGAGGGUGACCGGCCACAUUGGGACUGAGAUACGGCCCAGACUCCUACGGGAGGCAGCAGUGGGGAACAUUGCACAAUGGGCGGAGGCCUGAUGCAGCAACGCCGCGUGCGGGAUGACGGCCUUCGGGUUGUAAACCGCUUUCGCCUGUGACGAAGCGUGAGUGACGGUAAUGGGUAAAGAAGCACCGGCUAACUACGUG